CCUACGGGGGGCUGCAGUCGAGAAUCUUCGGCAAUGGGCGCAAGCCUGACCGAGCGACGCCGCGUGCGGGAUGAAGGCCUUCGGGUUGUAAACCGCUGUCGUAGGGGAGGAAGAUCCUGUGCAGAACAGGGUUUGACCGAUCCUAGGAGGAAGGGCCGGCUAAUCUCGUGCCAGCAGCCGCGGUAAUACGAGAGGCCCAACGGAUAUACGGAAUUACAAGAGUUAAAGAGUUCGUAGGCGGCAUGAGAGGGAAAGCCCUCGGCUCAACCGAGGAAUUGCGCUCUGAACUGUCGUGCUUGAGGAAUCUAGAGGUGAGCGGAACUGAUGGUGGAGCGGUGAAAUGCGUUGAUAUCAUCAGGAACACCGGAGGCGAAGGCGGCUCACUGGGGAUUUUCUGACGCUGAGGAACGAAAGCCAGGGUAGCGAACGGGAUUAGAUACCCUAGUAGUC
rnacentral:rRNA from 1 species